AUUUUAANACGNCNGUUUUAGUAUCUUAACAUGUGUGCACGGUUGGUUUCUAUAGNGANCUCACACUGGCACCGCUUCGUUUUACAGCCUAACUCAUGCAAGUCGAACGGCAGCACAGGAGAGCUUGCUCUCUGGGUGGCGAGUGGCGGACGGGUGAGGAAUACAUCGGAAUCUACUCUGAUCGUGAGAGAGAGAAUAACGUAGGGAAAACUUUACGACUAAUAACCGACAUACGACCUAACGAGAGUGAAAGACAGGGAGAAUCUUCGGACCUAUGACGACGAUUGAAUGAGCCGAAUGAGUAUACGAGGACAUAUAAGCUAAGAUUUUGAUGACGAGAGAGUAUUACAAAAGAAGGAGAGCCCCUAACUCNAAAAGAGAUCCCGAAACUGGAACAAGAUACACCGUAUAAAAGACCCAUAGNGGNGUCCUUAGGAUGAAAAGGAGACANUUAUGNAAUUCCCCAANGGCCCUCAACCACNUUGGGAAAACCUUGGCAGCACAACAGGAUCACCAAAAAUACCUUC
rnacentral:rRNA from 1 species